GAUGAACGCUGGCGGCGUGCCUAAUACAUGCAAGUCGAGCGGACAGACGAGGAGCUUGCUCCUCGGACGUUAGCGGCGGGCGGGUGAGUAACACGUGUAUAACCUACCUAUAAUACUGGGAUAUCUUCGGGAAACCGGAGCUAAUCGCAUAGAAGAUAUUGAUGCGCAUGGUGCAAUGGUGAAAUACGGUUUUGCUGUCUCUUAUAGAUGGAUCCGCGCCGCAUGAGAUAGUUGUGGAGUUAACGGCUUACCAAGGCAACGAUGCGUAGCCGAAGUGAGAGGGUGAUAGGCCACACUGGAACUUAGACACGGUCCAGACUCCUACGGGAGGCAGCAGUAGGGAAUCGUAGGCAAUGGGCGAAAGCAUGACGGAGCAACGCCGAGUGAGUGGUGAAGGUCUUCGGAUCGUAAAACUCUGUUAUUAGGGAAGAACAAAUGUGUAAGUAACUAUGCACGUCUUGACGGUACCUAAUCAGAAAGCCACGGCUAACUACGUG
rnacentral:rRNA from 1 species